rnacentral:ncRNA from 1 species
ACAGUAAGCGGGAGAGCCCACGUCAAGUGGGCACCGACGGUGCAACAUCCUCCCCAGGAAUCUCUCAGGUAUCCCAACCGCU